GAUGAACGCUGGCGGCGUGCCUAAUACAUGCAAGUCGAGCGAACAGACGAGGAGCUUGCUCCUCUGACGUUAGCGGCGGACGGGUGAGUAACACGUGGAUAACCUACCUAUAAGACUGGGAUAACUUCGGGAAACCGGAGCUAAUACCGGAUAACAUGUUGAACCGCAUGGUUCAACAGUGAAAGACGGUCUUGCUGUCACUUAUAGAUGGAUCCGCGCCGCAUUAGCUAGUUGUAAGGUAACGGCUUACCAAGGCAACGAUGCGUAGCCGACCUGAGAGGGUGAUCGGCCACACUGGAACUGAGACACGGUCCAGACUCCUACGGGAGGCAGCAGUAGGGAAUCUUCCGCAAUGGGCGAAAGCCUGACGGAGCAACGCCGCGUGAGUGAAGAAGGUCUUCGGAUCGUAAAACUCUGUUAUUAGGGAAGAACAAAUGUGUAAGUAACUAUGCACGUCUUGACGGUACCUAAUCAGAAAGCCACGGCUAACUACGUG
rnacentral:rRNA from 1 species